rnacentral:rRNA from 1 species
UACAGAGGCCCCGAGCGUUGUUCGGAUUCAUUGGGCGUAAAGGGUGCGUAGGCGGCGGGGUAAGUUUGAUGUGAAAUCCCGGGGCUCAACCCUGGAAUUGCAUUGAAUACUACCUUGCUAGAGUACCGGAGAGGAAACUGGAAUUUACGGUGUAGCAGUGAAAUGCGUAGAGAUCGUAAGGAAGACCAGUGGCGAAGGCGAGUUUCUGGACGGUAACUGACGCUGAGGCACGAAGGCCAGGGGAGCAAACGGG